rnacentral:rRNA from 1 species
GGGUUAGUAGGUUGGUCAUGCCUCUGGUAUGUACUGGUCUCACCGAUUCCUCCUUCCUGAUGAGCCGUAAUGCCAUUAAUUUGGUGUUGCGAGGAAUCUAGACCGUUACUUUGAAAAAAUUAGAGUGUUUAAAGCAGGCUAACGCUUGAAUACACUAGCAUGGAAUAAUGAAAUAGGACGUUCGAUCCUAUUUUGUUGGUUUCUAGGAUUGACGUA